rnacentral:lncRNA from 1 species
GAUAUAUAAUAAGAAAGAUAUUAUUUAUUUUUAAGGUUCAAAUUUAAUAAAUUACUCGUAUUAUUUGACUUUUAAUUUUUGAAGUUCAUGUUCCAAGUUUUAACCGUCAUAUUUGCGAUUAGAUAAGAAAAGAAUAGAGAUACCUGCUUCCCUUGCAAAUCCAACCGCAACAAUUUCUCAAACGCAUCAAUAUAAUCCUCCCCGCUCAUAAUUAUACAAAAUAUCGCCCUUCUUGCAUCUGUAUUCAUUCUCUGUCCGGCAGCAAGUUGAAGCAUUUUUUGAGCUUCUGAGCUCUCUUUAUCCAUCUUUUUUGCAUAAUUUUCAAUCGUACUACCAUUUGUAGUAGAUGACAUCAUCUCUCCAGAUAACCACCAUUGACCUUUUUUCUCAGGGUCAAGAAGCUUGCUCCAUUUCAAUCCCCGAACUAAAAUGCUUUCUACCCUCAACUGUCAGAAGUAAUAUAAAAAUUUCUUUAUUGUUUUAUAACUGUUAUAUAUUAUAAUGAUGUAUAAAAAAAAUAGCAUAUUAUAAUGAUGACCUUUUGAAGCCACUUCUUGAUGCGAGUAUGUUGUAAGGAUUCCUCUUUAGCUUUCUUUUUGUUGUUCUUGAUGUCAAAUAUGGUUUCAAGCAUGAACUCCAUCUGCCCCCCAUGAAGCAAACAAAGUUACAAGAGAAGCAAAAACUAUCGGAAAAGUGUUUCCCUGGCUAUCUCCAGACAUAGUCUUGAGUUCUGUCACCUUGUUCUGGAUGCUAACAAUAAAGUUUUUCAUGGUGGCCGGGUCGUCACUCCUCAAUCUCAUCCCAGAACCUAAUGAAUGCAUAUAGCAACUACUUAUAAUAAAUCAACAUACUGGUAAAUUUCAACAAUUCAGUUAAUAGUAGUACGUUCAUGAUUAAGAAAAACUAGAUGCGUAAAUUUCAACCCAUUCAAUGUCUUAAGCAAGGGUUAUGUUUCAUCUCUAACUUCAAAAACAUAUUUUUCAUUUGGCUCAUUACCCACACACGUGAUGUGCCCAUUUUCCAUCUCCAACAGAAACAUGUAGAACAAGAAUCUUACAAUUUAGAACUGUCAAGAUAGUAGAAACAUCAACCUCAGUCAACCGUGAGCUCAGCAUCAUCAUGAAAUCAUAUAUUAAAUCACUGAAAUGGUAUUAUUAUAAAUUGAGAAAACAACAAACUAUUAUUAUAUAAAGUGCAUUUAUCUCUAAUGUGAAAUUUCAGAAGAAAGUGAAUAACCUUGAGCAAACUCCAAAUAUGUACAAAUAAGAGAGAAGGAGAGUCAAAUUCCGCAAGGAAAGAUUGUCUUCCUUCUGAUACUCAUCCUAAUAUAAACAUAGGAAAACUAUUAAAAUCAUAUUCUUUAUGAAGAAGAUAGCUUCAAAAUUCAUUUUUUUAAACAGCGAAAUCAUUCAACGAACCUCAAAACACUUUGCAAGUGAAGCAAGCAGCUUUGCACCAAAGUCAAUCCCAACCAAGCAAGCCAAACCAGAAACUAAAGCUGCGAAAACAGCAGCAUAUCUGCAAGGGCACAAAUGUAAUCUUGUCAAAGGA